GCCUUGGUGGUGAAAUGGUGUACACGUGAGACUCACAAUCUUGUGUUAGAGAGUGUGGUGGUUUGAGUCCUUUUCAAGACA